UUCUAUACAUGCAUGCCGCCUCCAUAGAGUCCUCCACACCUCCAUCUUGCGUCUCAUAGAAAGACCCAAUUUUGCAUGAGUCUUCAAUAAAAGGAUAUGUUUGGCAGCCAACAUUUUUUUUGAUAGAGUGGCCCACUCCUAGGGCCAAGCUUGGAUCAUUCUCAUGGUCAUCCCCCUGGGCCAGCCCAUGAUCUGAAAUAUAUUUCAUCUGCCCCACCUUUUUAGGCCCAUAUGCAAUCAAGCUUAUGACCUAGGUUGCCCUCUCCUUCUCCACAAGAAAUGAGAUCCAAAAAAUUAGUCAAUUGGAUCACAGUUCCUUGUUCAGUGACAACCGAUUUAAGCAAAUCUUAGGGCUA
rnacentral:lncRNA from 1 species